AUUGAACGCUGGCGGCAUGCUUUACACAUGCAAGUCGAACGGUAACAGGCCUUCGGGUGCUGCCGAGUGGCGAACGGGUGCGUAAUGCAUUGGAACGUACCCAGAGGUGGGGGAUAACGCAGCGAAAGCUGUGCUAAUACCGCAUGUGAUCUGAGGAUGAAAGCGGGGGACCGAGCAGCAAUGUUUGGCCUCGCGCCUUUGGAGCGGCCGAUGUCGGAUUAGCUAGUUGGUGGGGUAAAGGCCUACCAAGGCGACGAUCCGUAGCUGGUCUGAGAGGACGACCAGCCACACUGGGACUGAGACACGGCCCAGACUCCUACGGGAGGCAGCAGUGGGGAAUUUUGGACAAUGGGCGCAAGCCUGAUCCAGCAAUGCCGCGUGCGGGAAGAAGGCCUUCGGGUUGUAAACCGCUUUUGGCAGGAACGAAACGGUGUCCGCUAAUACCGGGCGCUAAUGACGGUACCUGCAGAAUAAGCACCGGCUAACUACGUG
rnacentral:rRNA from 1 species